UAGAAAGAUAGAGGUGCAGUUUUUAAGAGUACAGUUGUUAUGAAGGCACAAGCUGAUAACUGGAAAGGAAAAAUUGCCGAAGUGUAAAGUAUUGCCAAGUACUUUAUGCUGGGGUUAAGUAAAAUAUGCUUAACACUGUCGUAAAUUUCAUUUUGAAAUUUUCGGAGGGCUAUCAACAAA
rnacentral:ncRNA from 2 species